UCUCUUGUAGUUUAACGGAAUAUGACAUAGGUCUGAUAAACCUGUAAUGGUGGUUCGACUCCACCCAAGAGAA